AGUGAACGCUGGCGGUAGGCCUAACACAUGCAAGUCGAACGGCAGCACAGUAAGAGCUUGCUCUUACGGGUGGCGAGUGGCGGACGGGUGAGGAAUACGUCGGAAUCUACUUUUUCGUGGGGGAUAACGUAGGGAAACUUACGCUAAUACCGCAUACGACCUACGGGUGAAAGCAGGGGAUCUUCGGACCUUGCGCGAUUGAAUGAGCCGAUGUCGGAUUAGCUAGUUGGCGGGGUAAAGGCCCACCAAGGCGACGAUCCGUAGCUGGUCUGAGAGGAUGAUCAGCCACACAGGAACUGAGACACGGUCCAGACUCCUACGGGAGGCAGCAGUGGGGAAUAUUGGACAAUGGGCGCAAGCCUGAUCCAGCCAUACCGCGUGGGUGAAGAAGGCCUUCGGGUUGUAAAGCCCUUUUGUUGGGAAAGAAAAGCAGCAGGUUAAUACCCCGCUGUUCUGACGGUACCCAAAGAAUAAGCACCGGCUAACUUCGUG
rnacentral:rRNA from 1 species